UACAGAGGGGGCAAGCGUUGUUCGGAAUUACUGGGCGUAAAGGGCGCGUAGGCGGCCAUCUAAGUCGAACGUGAAAUCCCCGGGCUCAACCCGGGAACUGCGUCCGAUACUGGAAGGCUUGAAUCCGGGAGAGGGAUGCGGAAUUCCAGGUGUAGCGGUGAAAUGCGUAGAUAUCUGGAGGAACACCGGUGGCGAAGGCGGCAUCCUGGACCGGCAUUGACGCUGAGGCGCGAAAGCCAGGGGAGCAAACGGG
rnacentral:rRNA from 1 species